GAUGAACGCUGGCGGCGUGCCUAAUACAUGCAAGUCGAGCGAACAGACGAGGAGCUUGCUCCUCUGACGUUAGCGGCGGACGGGUGAGUAACACGUGGAUAACCUACCUAUAAGACUGGGAUAACUUCGGGAAACCGGAGCUAAUACCGGAUAAUAUAUUGAACCGCAUGGUUCAAUAGUGAAAGACGGUUUUGCUGUCACUUAUAGAUGGAUCCGCGCCGCAUUAGCUAGUUGGUAAGGUAACGGCUUACCAAGGCAACGAUGCGUAGCCGACCUGAGAGAGUGAUCGGACACACUGGAACUGAGACACGGUCCAGACUCCUACGGGAGGCAGCAGUAGGGAAUCUUCCGCAAUGGGCGAAAGCCUGACGGAGCAACGCCGCGUGAGUGAUGAAGGUCUUCGGAUCGUAAAACUCUGUUAUUAGGGAAGAACAAAUGUGUAAGUAACUAUGCACGUCUUGACGGUACCUAAUCAGAAAGCCACGGCUAACUACGUG
rnacentral:rRNA from 1 species